GCCCCCGUAGCGCAAUGGUAGCGCGUAAGACUGUAUGUUCACACCGUCGCAACCUUUGCCUUCCUGACAUCAUAACUAAUAAAUCAAUAGUCUAGCUUACAAGCGAUCUUAAGGUUGCGAGUUCGAGCCUCGCCGGGGGCU